UGCAUCACCAAGGUGUACUCCUCCUUUGCCAAUCGAGAUCGAGGCCCGACCUGAGUUACAAGAGAGUUGUUUCAUCUUCUUCCUCGUCAAUCCGCAGAGAUACCAGUUACAACUUCAACCUCUUCAAGACCUUCUUAAAUCCAUACCCCCAUGAUCUCUCUUGAAUGCGAUCUCAGCUCAUGGAAGGCAGUGGAAUCUCGACUAUAAAAAGGUUUGCUUUCAUACUUGGAGAACCAUUUUCUCAUUCCGUAUUCAGAAACCAGUAGUCUUAUUUUCAGUAUAAUGGUUCUUCCACGAUUUUAUUCCUGGGUUGGGAGAGGCCAAGCUCAUCCUUUUAUGGGAAGCUCUCUGGAUUGAUGUUGAGACGUUCAUCAACGAACAGGCAUGCCAGAUGACGAAAAGGCAUAAAGCUCUUGCAACUUUUCAACAAAGAUACAUGUGUCUUCUGAUUAUCACCAGGAGACAAGCUUCUUCUCGGAGUUAGGGGAGAUCCACUUGCUCCUGUUCAUUUCUCCUCCUCUGAUCUUUUGCCUCGCCUUAGUAUCAAAGGCACACCAAUCGAGACAUCGUCUGUGCAGUAUAUACAUCAACAGUACACUGCUGCUUUCGGUGGACGGAAGCUUCAAAACUCUAUCAAAAAAUGCUUAUGCUAUGGGGAAGCUCAAGAUGAUCACUUCUGAGCUUUAGACCGCGACAAGAACUGUAACUGGAACCCGUCCAAGGCUGCGAGUGGAGGUUUCGUUCUGUUGCAGAUGAAUCCAGACAUAUAACAGUUUUGCAAUGUUCUCUUCUGUUUUUGCUUAUGCGUGUUGAGAGUCCUUUUUGAUUUCUUUAGGUUAUCCUGUUUAUUGUGGGACCUGAGUUACAAGUUAUCAACAAUUCUGAGAAAGAUAUCUCUUAAAGUUGAUGGACUUCUGAAUUUGACACUGAAUCAAGAUCAAGAAAAACCCACUUUUGUAGUCCUUUAA